GACGAACGCUGGCGGCGUGCUUAACACAUGCAAGUCGAACGGUACAAGACCGUAGUAAUAUGGUUUUGUAUAGUGGCGGACGGGUGAGUAACGCGUGAGCAAUCUACCUUAGAGUGGGGGACAACAUUCGGAAACGGAUGCUAAUACCGCAUAAGACCACGGCACCACAUGGUGCAGAGGUCAAAGGAGAAAUCCGCUCUAAGAUGAGCUCGCGUCCCAUUAGCUGGUUGGUGGGGUAACGGCCUACCAAGGCUAUGACGGGUAGGGGACCUGAGAGGGUGGCCCCCCACAAUGGAACUGAGACACGGACCAGACUCCUACGGGAGGCAGCAGUGAGGAAUAUUGGUCAAUGGCCGAAAGGCUGAACCAGCCA
rnacentral:rRNA from 1 species